GGGUUAGUAGGUUGGUCGUGCCUCUGGAAUGUACUGGUCUCACUGAUUCCUCCUUCCUGAUGAGCCGUAAUGCCAUUAAUUUGGUGUUGCGGGGAAUUUGGACUGUUACUUUGGAAAAAUUAGAGUGUUUAAAGCAGGCUCACGCUUGAAUACAUUAGCAUGGAAUAAUGAAAUAGGACGUUUGAUUCUGUUUUGUUGGUUUCUAGGAUCGACGUA
rnacentral:rRNA from 1 species